rnacentral:rRNA from 1 species
GAUGAACGCUGACAGAAUGCUUAACACAUGCAAGUCUUUGGCGAAGCUGUGCUUGCACAGCCUAGCCAAGGCGGACGGGUGAGUAACGCGUAAGGAACUUGCCCUGCAGUCAGGGAUAACAGACGGAAACGACUGAUAAGACCUGGUAAAGUCAGGCGGACUCAUGUCCAGCCUGAUGAAAAGAGAUGCUGCAGGAGAGCCUUGCGUCCUAUUAGCUUGUUGGUGGGGUAACGGCCCACCAAGGCGAUGAUAGGUAGCCGGCCUGAGAGGGUGGACGGCCGCAAGGGGACUGAGAUACGGCCCUUACUCCUACGGGAGGCAGCAGUGGGGAAUAUUGGACAAUGGGGGCAACCCUGAUCCAGCAAUUCUGUGUGCACGAUGAAGGUUUUCGGAUUGUAAAGUGCUUUCAGCAGGGAAGAAAAAAAUGACGGUACCUGCAGAAGAAGCGACGGCUAAAUACGUG